rnacentral:sRNA from 2 species
CGUCGAGUGACAGAAAUUCCCCUCCACCUUCUCGCUUCUCUGCAAAAGAAGGAGGUUUCAGCGAGUAUCUGGAGUUCGAUUUGAUUCGUUUUUAUUUGCCCCAUCUCUUUAUCCCUGGUCUUUGGCAGCGACAACCACGCUUUGUCGGUUCCGUCUAACCUCAAUGCUUUCUUGCCCACCGGCACGGAUACGGUCGACAACAAUCAGAUAUAUCCGCAGAAAUCAAAGGAGGCAGGAAAGGCUAUUUUCGACAAGCACAAAUACCAAUGUCGAUUUUACACACGCGAUAAUCGGCGGCGGCAUCGUCGGCCUCUCCAUCGCCCGCCACCUCUCCCUCACCCGCCCAAACACCACCACCAUCCUGCUCGAACGCCACCCUGCCCUCGGCACAGAAACAACCAGCCGCAACUCCGAAGUCAUCCACGCAGGCCUCUACUACCCACCCUCCUCGCUGAAGACCCGACUCUGCAUCCGCGGCAAACACCUCCUCUACGAUCUCUGCGCCUCCCCCGCCCACAACAUCCCCCACCGCCGCACCGGGAAAUGGAUCCUGGCGCAGGAUGCGGAGCAGUUGGACCGCCUACAGCGCAUGCACGAGCAUGCGGCGCGCCUGGGGGUGCCUACGCGGUUUUUGGCCAGGGGGGAGAUAGCCCGGCGAGAGCCGGAUGUAAGGGCGCGGGCGGGGGUGUUGGAGAGUCCCAGCACAGGGAUUGUGGAUAGCCAUGCGCUGAUGGCGUGUUUGCACGCUGAGUUUGAGGGGGCCGGCGGUGACGUUGCGCUUUGGACGGCU